rnacentral:rRNA from 1 species
CGGAGGGUGCGAGCGUUAAUCGGAAUUACUGGGCGUAAAGCGCGCGUAGGUGGUUAAUUAAGUCAGAUGUGAAAUCCCAGGGCUCAACCUUGGAACUGCAUUUGAAACUGGUUAACUAGAGUUUGUAGAGGGUGGUAGAAUUUCAGGUGUAGCGGUGAAAUGCGUAGAGAUCUGAAGGAAUACCAGUGGCGAAGGCGGCCACCUGGACAAAGACUGACACUGAGGCGCGAAGGCGUGGGGAGCAAACGGGAUU